rnacentral:rRNA from 1 species
CCUACGGGAGGCAGCAGUGGGGAAUAUUGCACAAUGGGCGGAAGCCUGAUGCAGCGACGCCGCGUGAGGGAUGAAGGCCUUCGGGUUGUAAACCUCUUUCAGCAGGGACGAAGCGUGAGUGACGGUACCUGCAGAAGAAGCACCGGCUAACUACGUGCCAGCAGCCGCGGUAAUACGUAGGGUGCGAGCGUUGUCCGGAAUUACUGGGCGUAAAGAGUUCGUAGGCGGUUUGUCGCGUCGUUUGUGAAAACCCGGGGCUCAACUUCGGGCUUGCAGGCGAUACGGGCAGACUUGAGUGUUUCAGGGGAGACUGGAAUUCCUGGUGUAGCGGUGAAAUGCGCAGAUAUCAGGAGGAACACCGGUGGCGAAGGCGGGUCUCUGGGAAACAACUGACGCUGAGGAACGAAAGCGUGGGUAGCAAACAGGAUUAGAUACCCUGGUAGUCCACGCCGUAAACGGUGGCGCUAGGUGUGGGUUCCUUCCACGGGAUCUGUGCGUAGCUAACGCAUUAGCGCCCGUCUCGGAGGUACGGCCGCGAGACGUAACUACAAGAAGUAGACGCGNGAGACGNGCGACGACGACGACGACGGGAGUAGG